GAGGGCAGCCAGCCUGGGGGCGGGGACUAACUCUGUAACUUAAGAGUGGGGAAACUCUUUUUCUGUCCUUACUCUCCACAUAUUUAAGAAAUCAGUCAUGGCUGCAGAAGCGAAGCAGACUUGUUACGAGGGCAGUUCUGUCCAAAGCUUUCGGUUCUUCCUAGAACAUUCGGGAGAGCACCAGGCUAUUCUCCAGCGUGUUCAUGACAUCCUGCCAGGAGAAUUUAAAAGAAUUGGAGCAG